CAAAAAAAUCAGAAUAUAUCCCACUUGCCCAAUAGAUUAUUUGAGUACACUUUAUCUUAUUUAGAAGUAUCACUAUUUAAUUUAUCUUCCAAGUUGGAAUUAGUGUAGGACCCACCAAUAUUGGGGUACUGUAAAGUAGUGGAGGGCUUAACACAAUAUGUCCAUAUGGUGGAAGUGAAUCACCAUAUAUUUUCGAGGAGAUAGCGGAC